UAGCCUAGCGGUUAAGGCUAUGGAUUGCCAAUCCGGAGACAGCGGGUUCGAUUCCCGU
rnacentral:tRNA from 1 species